rnacentral:rRNA from 1 species
UACGUAGGGGGCAAGCGUUGUCCGGAUUUACUGGGCGUAAAGAGCGUGUAGGCGGCCAGGUAGGUCUGCUGUGAAAACUCGAGGCUCAACCUCGAGACGUCGGCGGAAACCAUCUGGCUAGAGUCCGGAAGAGGAGAGUGGAAUUCCUGGUGUAGCGGUGAAAUGCGCAGAUAUCAGGAAGAACACCAAUGGCGAAAGCAGCUCUCUGGGACGGUACUGACGCUGAGACGCGAAAGCGUGGGGAGCGAACAGG